UUCUCACGUGAGACGCUGAGGUCCGUGCUCCACAUAACUGGAAAGUUCACAUUACGGUAAAAACAAUUGACAUAUCGAACAACCAGAAGGACCGCAGGGCUACGUGACACUCGUGUGCUACACAGAAUCAGAGACACAGCCUGGAGAUCAGUGAACGGAGGUAACAGUGAAAUAAGGACGGAGUCUUGCUGAGAUUUAUGGAUCCUGGAAAAACAAUGGAGAUGGACCCAUCUGCCUUCGACUGCUCAGAUUGCACCCCAUAGAAAUAAAAGAUGUGUCAAGUGAUGGUUUCCUUUAUACCUUACAAACAAGAACAAAUUUGGAGGAAAAGGGAGAGGAAGCUGUAAAAUCGGCAGAACAUGGACCUGAUUGACCGGCUGAGACCUGAGGCAGGUUCAGGGCACAUUCACACAAAUGUAUAAACUAUUAAACAACUGAUACACAGAAGUUUGGAAACA